GUUGGCUUUGGGGAUGACCAGUGAAAUAUACCUGCUGGAACACGUGUUGCUAUGGAGGGCUGCAACCAACUGCCUUAUAUACCAUCUGUGUCAGGAAGCCUGUGCUAGUGGAAUAUACCAUCUAUCCUCAUAUAAACAGGGUGCUUCGGGCCUCAAUUUGUCAGGCGUGGACUACAAGGUGUCAAGUGUUCCAGAGGAAUCCUGGCCUGUGUCGACUCCAAUGCUUCACUUCCCACAGUUGUGUCAAGUCGGCUGGAUGUUCUUUGGGUGGUGGACCAUUAUUGAUACACACAGGAAAGUGUUGAGCGUGAAAAACACAGCAGCGUAGCAUUCCUCGACACACUCAAACUGGUGCGCCUGGCACCUACUACCAUACUCUGUUCAAAGGCACUUCAAUCGUUUGUCUUGCCUGUUCACAAUCCAUGUCUCAAUGCUUAAAAGUGAUUCUUUUAACGUGUCUCCCCCGCUACAUCUGCACUGAUUCAAGUGGAUUUAACAGGUGACAUCAAUAAGGGAUCAUAGCUUUCACCUGGAUUCACCUGGUCUGUCUGUCAUUGUGGUUGUAUACAGUGCAGAUAUUUUACUUAUGGAUUAUAUAGACAUCAAGUAUUACAUAGUUUGAAUGUGUAACUAAAAAAAUAAGGUCCUGGUGUUCUUUUCUUGUACAGUAAACUUUUAUUGAAGCAAUACACAUUUACAUUCAUACUAAUAUACAAAUACAAUACGUUUUCAAAAGUUGCAAAAUAUAUACACACAAUGAUGUGAGCGACACAACCCGUCAUGUUUUCUAAAAAAAUAAAUAUCUGUACGAGUGAAAAAAUAAAGUGCAAAAAACAGUCCAGUAACUAUGAUCUGAAUGUACAGUGUGUCGGUCACAGAAUAGAGCAAGUUGCCAACUUCAACCAAAUGUCAUAGGCCAUCAUCUGAAAGACACUCAGCAGACAUUCUACAGAGCGACACUUCUAUGAGUCCCUUUCUGAGUAAAGUAGAUGGGGAAAAAUCACUGAAACAGUACAUCGUUUUAGAGACGUUGGAAAUUACAAGUCACCUACC